AGCAAAGUCAACAGAAUGACAAGGUCUCAGUUACAUACAUGUGAAUUGAAAGAGUCAUGCAUUUUUGGCCGUGUUGAAAUAUCUUAAUUAAGUGGAGGAAAUUAGGCAUUUUUUUUGCAUUAUUAAGGGAGGCUUGUUAUAAAGGUGAUGGUGAUAAUAUAAAAAACAGUGGAAAAAGCAAAAAGGUUAAAAGGGUGAAAGAAUGGGAAAAGGAAAAGGUUUUGUGAGAAAAGGUCUGUGCAUGUGUAAUUCAAAAUAGAAAAUAGAAAGGUGACUGUUGAAGACUUGAGUACUUUAGCAAUAAAAGGAUUUGUAAAGAUUAUCGAUCGGUAUGCAAUGAGAAGGAAAGGUCAGGAAAA
rnacentral:misc_RNA from 1 species